rnacentral:rRNA from 1 species
GUGAAGCUGGAUUCGCUAGUAAUCGCGCAUCAGCCAUGGCGCGGUGAAUACGUUCCCGGGCCUUGUACACACCGCCCGUCAAGCCAUGGGAGCCGGGAGUGCCUGAAGUUCGUGACCGUCACAGGAGCGACCUAAGGUAAGACCGAUGACUGGGGCUAAGUCGUAACAAGGUACC